UACGUAGGGUGCGAGCGUUGUCCGGAAUUACUGGGCGUAAAGAGCUCGUAGGUGGUUUGUCGCGUUGUCCGUGAAAACUCACAGCUCAACUGUGGGCGUGCGGGCGAUACGGGCAGACUGGAGUACUGCAGGGGAGACUGGAAUUCCUGGUGUAGCGGUGGAAUGCGCAGAUAUCAGGAGGAACGCCGGUGGCGAAGGCGGGUCUCUGGGCAGUAACUGACGCUGAGGAGCGAAAGCGUGGGGAGCGAACAGG
rnacentral:rRNA from 1 species